GAGAGUUUGAUCCUGGCUCAGAACGAACGCUGGCGGCAUGCCUAAUACAUGCAAGUCGAACGAGAUCUUCGGAUCUAGUGGCGCACGGGUGCGUAACGCGUGGGAAUCUGCCCUUGGGUUCGGAAUAACUUCUGGAAACGGAAGCUAAUACCGGAUGAUGACGUAAGUCCAAAGAUUUAUCGCCCAAGGAUGAGCCCGCGUAGGAUUAGCUAGUUGGUGGGGUAAAGGCCCACCAAGGCGACGAUCCUUAGCUGGUCUGAGAGGAUGAUCAGCCACACUGGGACUGAGACACGGCCCAGACUCCUACGGGAGGCAGCAGUAGGGAAUAUUGGACAAUGGGCGAAAGCCUGAUCCAGCAAUGCCGCGUGAGUGAUGAAGGCCUUAGGGUUGUAAAGCUCUUUUACCCGGGAUGAUAAUGACAGUACCGGGAGAAUAAGCUCCGGCUAACUCCGUGCCAGCAGCCGCGGUAAUACGGAGGGAGCUAGCGUUGUUCGGAAUUACUGGGCGUAAAGCGCACGUAGGCGGCUAUUCAAGUCAGAGGUGAAAGCCCGGGGCUCAACCCCGGAACUGCCUUUGAAACUANAUAGCUUGAAUCCANGAGAGGUGAGUGGAAUUCCGAGUGUAGAGGUGAAAUUCGUAGAUAUUCNGAAGAACACCAGUGGCGAAGGCGGCUCACUGGAACUGGUAUUGACGCUGAGGUGC
rnacentral:rRNA from 1 species